CCCUUAGAUGUUCUGGGCCGCACGCGCGCUACACUGACGAAUGCAACGAGCUUAUAACCUUGGCCGAAAGGUCUGGGUAAUCUCCAAAUUUCGUCGUGAUGGGGAUAGAUUAUUGCAAUUAUUAAUCUUCAACGAGGAAUGCCUAGUAAGCGCAAGUCAUCAGCUUGCGUUGAUUACGUCCCUGCCCUUUGUACACACCGCCCGUCGCUCCUACCGAUUGAAUGGUCCGGUGAAGCGUUCGGACCGUGGCCUUUGGACGGUUCGCCGUCUGUUGGCUGCGGGAAGUUCGUUAAACCUUAUCAUUUAGAGGAAGGAGAAGUCGUANCG
rnacentral:rRNA from 1 species